GCGAUUCGCCCUUCGGGGUGCAGCAGGCGCGAAAACUUUACAAUGCCGGCAACGGCGAUAAGGGAACCUCGAGUGCCAGGUUACAAAUCUGGCUGUCGUGAUGCCUAAAAAGCAUUGCAUAGCAAGGGCCGGGCAAGACCGGUGCCAGCCGCCGCGGUAACACCGGCGGCUCGAGUGGUAACCGUUAUUAUUGGGUCUAAAGGGUCUGUAGCCGGCCGGGUAAGUCUCUUGGGAAAUCUGGCAGCUUAACUGUCAGGCUUUCAGGAGAUACUGCCUGGCUCGAGGCCGGGAGAGGUGAGAGGUACUUCAGGGGUAGGGGUGAAAUCUUGUAAUCCUUGAAGGACCACCAGUGGCGAAGGCGUCUCACCAGAACGGACCUGACGGCAAGGGACGAAAGCUAGGGGCACGAACCGGAUUAGAUACCCGGGUAGUCCUAGCCGUAAACGAUACUCGCUAGGUGUCGGCCACGGUGCGACCGUGGUCGGUGCCGUAGGGAAGCCGUGAAGCGAGCCACCUGGGAAGUACGGCCGCAAGGCUGAAACUUAAAGGAAUUGGCGGGGGAGCAC
rnacentral:rRNA from 1 species